UGGGGAAUAUUGCACAAUGGGGGAAACCCUGAUGCAGCAACGCCGCGUGAGUGAAGGAGUGCUUCGGCAUGUAAAGCUCUAUCAGCAGGGAAGAAGAAGGACGGUACCUGACUAAGAAGCCCCGGCUAACUACGUGCCAGCAGCCGCGGUAAUACGUAGGGGGCAAGCGUUAUCCGGAUUUACUGGGUGUAAAGGGAGCGUAGACGGCAGCGCAAGUCUGAAGUGAAAGCCCGUGGCUCAACCGCGGAACUGCUUUGGAAACUGUGCGGCUGGAGUGCUGGAGAGGUAAGCGGAAUUCCUGGUGUAGCGGUGAAAUGCGUAGAGAUCAGGAGGAACACCGGUGGCGAAGGCGGCUUACUGGACAGUAACUGACGUUGAGGCUCGAAAGCGUGGGGAGCAAACAGGAUUAGAUACC
rnacentral:rRNA from 1 species